rnacentral:tRNA from 2 species
UGGGGCGUCGGCAAGUGGCAAGCCACAUGGUUUUGGUCCAUGCAUUCAGGGGUUCGAAUCCUCUCGCCCCAGCCA